UCGUGGCCGAGUGGUAAGGAUAUCUGCUUCGCACACUGGAGUUCUGGGUUCGAUUCCCAGUUGAAGAG